CGUGGCAGUCGUCGCUAAGACCGAUGUGAAAUCCCCGGGCUUUACUGGAACUGCAUUGGUGACUGGCGAGCUAGAGUAUGACAGAGAGAGGUAGAAUUCCACGUGUUAGCAGUGAAAUGCGUAGAGAUGUGGAGGAAUACCGAUGGCGAAAGGCAGCCCCCUGGGCCAAUACUGACGCUCAUGCACGAAAGCGUGGAGAGCAAACAGGAUUAGAUACCCUGGUAGUCCACGCCCUAAACGAUGUCAACUAGUUGUCGGGUCUUCAUUGACUUGGUAACGAAGCUAACGCGUGAAGUUGACCGCCUGGGGAGUACGGUCGCAAGAUUAAAACUCAAAGGAAUUGACGGGGACCCGCACAAGCGGUGGAUGAUGUGGAUUAAUUCGAUGCAACGCGAAAAACCUUACCUACCCUUGACAUGUACGGAACCUUGCCGAGAGGUGAGGGUGCCCGAAGGGGAGCCGUAACACAGGUGCUGCAUGGCUGUCGUCAGCUCGUGUCGUGAGAUGUUGGGUUAAGUCCCGCAACGAGCGCAACCCUUGUCCCUAGUU
rnacentral:rRNA from 1 species